rnacentral:rRNA from 1 species
CCUACGGGAGGCAGCAGUGGGGAAUAUUGGGCAAUGGGCGCAAGCCUGACCCAGCAACGCCGCGUGAAGGAAGAAGGCUUUCGGGUUGUAAACUUCUUUUAAGAGGGAAGAGAAGAAGACGGUACCUCUUGAAUAAGCCACGGCUAACUACGUGCCAGCAGCCGCGGUAAUACGUAGGUGGCACGCGUUAUCCGGAUUUACUGGGUGUAAAGGGCGUGCCGCCGGGAAGACAAGUCAGAUGUGAAAUCCCGAGGCUCAACCGCGGAACUGCAUCUGAAAUUGUUUUGCUUGAGGGCCGGAGAGGUCAGAGGAAUGCAUGGUGUAGGGGUGAAAGGCGUAGAGAUAAGGAGGAACACUAGUGGCGAAGGCGGAUGAAUGGAAGACUACUGACGGUGAGGCGCGAAAGCGUGGGGAGCAAACAGGAUGAGAUACCCGGGUAGUC